UACAGAGGUCUCAAGCGUUGUUCGGAUUCAUUGGGCGUAAAGGGUGCGUAGGUGGCGAGGCAAGUCAGAUGUGAAAUCCCGGGGCUCAACCCCGGAACUGCAUUUGAAACUGCCUUGCUCGAGUACUGGAGAGGAGACUGGAAUUUAACGGUGUAGCAGUGAAAUGCGUAGAUAUCGUAAGGAAGACCAGUGGCGAAGGCGGCACGCUAGACCUCUCUGACGCUGAGGCACGAAAGCCAGGGGAGCGAACGGG
rnacentral:rRNA from 1 species